rnacentral:rRNA from 1 species
UACGUAGGGUGCGAGCGUUAAUCGGAAUUACUGGGCGUAAAGCGCGCGCAGGCGGCUAUCCAAGUCAGUGGUGAAAGCCCGGAGCUCAACUCCGGAACUGCCAUUGAAACUGUUUAGCUUGAGGAUGAGAGAGGUGAGUGGAAUUCCCAGUGUAGAGGUGAAAUUCGUAGAUAUUGGGAAGAGCACCGGUGGCGAAGGCGGCUCACUGGCUCAUUACUGACGCUCAGGCGCGAUAGCGUGGGGAUCAAACAGG